AUGAAGGACCGUUGGAUGCUGGCAGAUCGGCGGAAGGUCGCGUCUUCAGCGCAUCCGCCGCAUCCGACCAGAGCGGCGAGAUGCAUCCCUCCGUCUGCAGUGUGUGGGCUGUUGUUCAUUUCCAGUCAUGUAAGUCUGUGUAGCGCUUUAAAACACAUUAGCUCCCCCAAAUCAUUUAUUAUUUUAUGUUUCCAACAUUAUUGGGCUUGUUAUCACAGCAGAUUCAUAAAAGAAUAAUAUAGUGACGAAGCCCAGAGCCAUUAUAUUGCUAUGAUUUCUUUUUCCCCCUGGCAAUUUAACCUAUGAAUAUUGGCAUUUAAGGGUCUAUUUUCUUGGUUUCAUGGUCACAAAAAUGAGACGUCCGCACAUAAAUUGUUGAUUCCUGAUCAGCACAGAGAUUUACGAUGGUUUAAUUUGAGGCAAGUUCAGAAACUUUUGGAAAAUCAGAACUUUGUACAAGUUAAAUUCUCUCUAAUUACAACAAUCUUCCUCACUCCCUUCUAAUUUGGAAUUGCUCAUCUCCACUCACACUCUAGGAAUAAAUAACGGAUGUAUAUUAUCCUAAAUUUAGACAGGUUCUGCCAAAGCAUCCCUCUCAUUCGCUGUACUCCAAUAAUCAAUGACAUCUUUGUAAUUAAACAUUGAUAAUGUUGGCGGGGGAACUGCGAGCGUUGUGGCGAUUGCCAUAAAGGUUAAGGUGUCUCGGUGACAGAAGAGGGUCUGAGCAAAGCCGUGAAUCACGGCGGCGGUUGGUGUGAUGGCCAUGUGUGCGCUGGCGUGAUGCUUGCCUGGGUGUGUUCUGCACGCACGGAGGGGGGGAGGCUGGGCAGUCCUCUGUCUUCACGAUGAGCAGAUGGUCGCUCUGUGUUAGCUUGUGGGAGGCUGCCAACAAGAAAGCCCAUUUGACACAUGAGUCCAGAACAAAUGCAUACCAACAUGCAUUUGUUCUCCGUGUUCUUCCUGAGAACAUGGGAACUUUCACAAAUGGAGGGUUUAAGAAGAUAUUAUUUUAGGUUGAUUCAGAUUCAGAUUCAGGUCCUUUAUUGUCCCACACGGGGAAAAGUGAUGUAAUGGAAGAUGCAAUAACAUCUGUAGAAUUUCGUCCUUUUGUCUGUUCUAAAUUAAAUCCACAUUAGUGUUCUUGUCAUAUUGAGUUUUCUAACAAGUUUUCAAGUAUUUUUUUAACCUGCAUCUCAACAGACUGGCAUGCAAAUGAUAUAAUUCCAUUUUUUAAUUGAACAUAUAACAUUAUUAAUUGUGAUGGAUUCAUAUAAUUGGUAAAUGACUGGUUGCAGUUCAUAAAAGCACCCGAUUUGCAAAUCAUCAAGCAUAUCCACUAAAAUUAUAAUCAGUAUUGUAUGUAUGUGUCAUUCUCUUUAAUUAAUGUAAUGAACUUUGUAUCUUAAACUAAUAGCACGCGGAGAGUGCAGACCUCAGCCAACCAGCUCAUUUCCUCACAUAUUGUGACUUACAGCUGUAGUAUAAAUUCUAUAUGCAGUACAGGCAGUAUAAUACAAGGUUAUUUAGCAUAGUAGGUCGCUUUAUGAGGAAAGCCGCUUGGCUUUGGUUUUUGGAAGUUCAAAGUCCC
ensembl:lncRNA